rnacentral:rRNA from 1 species
CCUACGGGUGGCAGCAGUGGGGGAUAUUGGACAAUGGGCGCAACCCUGAUCCAGCGACGCCGCGUGAGUGAAGAAGUAUUUCGGUUUGUAAAGCUCUUUCAGCAGGGACGAAAGAAAUGACGGUACCUGAGUAAUAAGCCCCGGCUACCUACGUGCCAGCAGCCGCGGUAAUACGUAGGUGGCAAGCGUUAUCCGGAAUUACUGGGUGUAAAGGGAGCGUAGGCGGUAAUGCAAGUCUGGUGUGAAAGGCAGGGGCUCAACCCCGGGACUGCUGUGGAAACUGUGGAACUAGAGUUCAGGAGAGGGAGGUGGAAUGUCUGGUGUAGCGGUGAAAUGCGUAGAGAUAAGGAGGAACACCAGUGGCGAAGGCGGCCUGCUGGACUGUAACUGACGUUGAGGCGCGAAAGCGUGGGGAGCAAACAGGAUUAGAUACCCGAGUAGUC